UACGAAGGGGGCUAGCGUUGCUCGGAAUCACUGGGCGUAAAGGGUGCGUAGGCGGAUCUUUUAAGUCAGGGGUGAAAUCCUGGAGCUCAACUCCAGAACUGCCUUUGAUACUGGCGAGCUUGAGUUCGGGAGAGGUGAGUGGAACUGCGAGUGUAGAGGUGAAAUUCGUAGAUAUUCGCAAGAACACCAGUGGCGAAGGCGGCUCACUGGCCCGAUACUGACGCUGAGGCACGAAAGCGUGGGGAGCAAACAGGG
rnacentral:rRNA from 1 species